AUUUUAAAGCAGAUACAGAUGUUCUUCUCUACUAAGUGUUGAAUUUAGAGUCAGAAGACCCGGUUGUGAAUUCUGCCUCAUCCACUUACUAACAGUGGGAUCUGAAUCAGCUGGCUUCCUCUCUCUGAGCCUUGGUGUCCCCAUCUGCAAAGGAGUAACAAUGAUGUGAUGAUGGUGGCAGUGAUGAAUACCCAUGGGCAAGAGGAGCUCCAGCAUCUUCACAUAUGGAUGGUUUUAAUGUGAUGGACAGACAUCCCUCUGCAAAAGGAUGGAGUUUUAUCUUCAGGACGACGUCAUCACUGGUUUUUGUACUCAUUGGAUCAGCGUGGAUUGAGCAGCAUCGAAUCCUUGUAUUGAGCGGACGUGUUUGCAGAUCUAGGUCGGUAAGUGGGCUGAGGGAGUUAGUUUCCCCCACUGCUUACAGUUUCUCCUUGAGUUUGUCUCCCCAUAGACUUCCUUUUUUAGGUCUCCCACAGAACCCUCAGGUCUUGUGUCUUAUGGUGUCUGAACUCUAUGCAUACCCUGGCUCAGAGCUGCCGUGUGUCACCUGUCUGCACACCCAGUGGUGUUCUGAGGAUGCACACACCUGGAAACCUUCUAGGGUGGCAGGUCUCAGCCUUGACUGCACAUUAGAAUGGCCUGAGGAGCUUUUAAAAAGACCCAGUAUAGCUGUACUCCAGGCCAAUUAAAUCAGAACAUCUAAGGGAGGGACCAGCAUCAGUGAUUUUUACAGCUUCCCAGGUUACUGCAAAGAUGCUGCUGACCACUUACUUGAGUGGCAAGUAAGUGGUCAGCAGCGUGAGUGCCACCUGGGUUUGUUAGAAAUGCAGGUUCCCUGACACCUCCCCCCACCCAGACCUACUGAACAAGAAUCUGCAUUCUACCAAGGUAUCCUAGGUCUGUUCAGAUGCAUAUUCAAGAUCAAUAAAGAAGCACUGCCCCCCUAGGAGCUCUCAAGCUGGAGCAUGCAUCAGAAGCACCUGGAGGGCCUGUUACAAUGUAGAGUGCUGGGUCCCCACUCGGAUUCUAGUUCUAGGGUGAGGCUGUGCAUUUCUGACAGUGAUGUAAUACAGGUGAUGCUCCUACCAUGCAGGAACCAUCUAAGGCAUACUUUACCCCCAGUUCAUUUAUUCUCCCACUAUUUGGGAGGAGCACAUGAAGAUUCUGAGGCACAGGGGCUACUGUAGUGAAUAAGGAGUUAAAUUCUAGAGGAAGUCCAGACAAUAAAUAAGCAGGCAAACAACUAAAUUACUGAAAAAUUGCAGAUCAUGUUAAGUCUUUACGAAAAAAAUUAAGUGGUCAGGUAAGGCCUUUCUGAAGGACUGCCAUUUGAGCAAAGACCUGAUGGAUGAAGGUCUGAAAAGCACAACCAAGAAAAGAACACGAGAAACUGGGUUCUAGGCAGAAGGAAAUAUAAAUGCCCCGACCAAAGGUAGGCUUCGUAAACUCCAAGUAGGAUGGGAGGGCCCAGGGAAAGAGGUUCCUCCUCCACCUCCAGAGCCACAACCUACUGGCUGAAUGAUGUGGGGAAUCCUACCUUUCCUUUUGUGGCCUGUUUACUCAUCAAGCUUCCCUCGUAGCAUUCUUUGGAAGAUUAGCAAGAAUUUAAUUCACACCGAGGUUACACUUGCCUGCUGGCAUCAGGUCUCCAAGGGGGAAAGAAAACAGAACUUUCCAGCAGCAGUGGGUGAGCCAUCCAUCUCUACUGUACCUUGUAAUAGAGACAUACGAAGGAUGCAGUGAUUUCACUGCCAUCAGGAAACCCUGAGAGGCAGGAGGAAACGAGAAGGCUGCACAGAGCAACUAUUCCUGGACAAGACACGGCUGAGAAAAUCCUAGAACACAGGGCGGAGACAGACCACACAAGAAGGAACUAAAACCCUCAAGAAGUGGAAGACGUUAACUACUUGAUGAAGCAUUCUUCAUUCCAGAGAAAAAGUCAUGGUUUGAUAACCCUGAGAACCUCAGAAGCUCAUCAGGACGCCACCUGAGGCCAGAUGAAAGGAAUGCAGGCCCUGCACACACCCCGAUCUUUAUUAGCAACUCCACCCUUGAACCAUCGCUAUAAAACCCCUCACCAAAUCUCCCCAGGGUGGGACACACACUUUUGAGGGGCACAAGCCCUCUGUGUCCCCCUUUGCCUGGCAAAGCAAUAAUACUAUUCUUUUCUACUUCACCCAGAACUCUGUCUCCAAGAUUUGAUUUGGUGCUGGUGCACAGAGGCAGUCUGAGCAUCAGUAGGGGUACAAAAGUAAACGACUUGAACACACCCUAACAAAACAAAGAAGACAGUGUCCCCGUGGCAUCUUCAAUGCAUCCACACCUCAUCCACUUAAGUUGAAUUAGUGCUUCCCAGUGCCACGUGAUGCACACGAGCCAGGGAGAGCACGAAUCCGUCUUCGCUUUUGGUAUUCGGAGACCCUGGGGUAUUUAUAUUCUCAGCUACACUGUUUUAUUAGCCUAGUGUAUGCAUUUAACACCUAGUUUCAUACUGAAAACAUGUAGAUGGUGAAUGACUUUGAGCUCCUUGAAAAAGCCAUGAGCUCCAAAUAACAAAGGCAGUGUGUUAGAAGAUGUUGUUAUUAACUCCCUAGACAUCCUUCAGAGUGUCAAAAGCAUCUUCCCAAGGAGCAGGGAGUCUAAUAUGGGUACAGAUUCCCCAGAUCUUGACAUUCAAUUUCAGGGUUUUAAUUUACUCCAGACUCACACAUCCUGUGUCCCAUGAAAGACAACAGUCAACUGCAAGAUCUCAUCACCACCCUCCCCGCAGACUGUCCGAAACUCUGGGGACUCCAAGGGAAAGAUGGAGAGAUUCUGUCAGAUCAUUAGCACCCUAUUUUCAGAGGUCUUCCGCGAGGCGGAAGUGGAAAUACUUAACCUGAGUCUGUGAUCAAGUCCCUCAGCUAUCAAAGACAUGCAUCUGGAAAGUUUAUUACAUAUUAAAAAAAAAUCCACCUGUUAUAGUACUGGCCUUCAUGACCCUUUCUGGUCAAGGCAUUACCCUUACCCUGAUGAAACAGGAAAAGGUAUAAACAAAGCCCCAUGCUAGUUUUCUAACAUAAAAGAAAGAGAAGGGAACUGAUUAACUUAGUAAAUCUAAUGUUUACCACUUGGCUUCACUCUCUCUCUCUCUCUCUCUCUCUCUCGUCUCUCACACACACACACAAUUAUAGAUAUAGAGAUAGUCACAGACACAGACUGGAUGUUCAUUUUCCCCAAUAUAAUCCUUUGAGGUAGAUGAUUAUCUCAUUAUUGGAUGCGCAAACUGAGGCACAGAGCAAUAAAACCCCCUCGGGGAAGUGAUAAUGUGUUCUCAGUUGUUAUUUUUCCCAGUUGCUACUCAGGAACUAAAUCUGUUUCAUUCAUCCCAGGAUCCUUCUGCCUAGCAGAGUUUGGAACAUAGUGGGUGGUCAGUGAAAUGUGAACCCCUGUCUCUAAAGCCUGUCAUUCUACAUUAUAACUUGUAUUACUGCCACAUCAACACCAGCUCAUUUACUCAGUGAAAUUUCACUGACUACCUCCUAUGUGCCAGACCCUCUGUUAGGCAGAGUGAUACAGGAAUGAAUGAAACAGAAAUAGUCUCUGACCAUCUAAUGGGAUAAAUAACAAGAAUUCAUUAUUAGCUGAGCGCUAAAAAAAAAAAAAGGAAAAGGUUCCUGCAAAGGAGAUGACCUUCAGAAGUGGGAGAGGAGUGGGUGGGUGAUAUCCCACCUUACAUUAGAUAUCAGGGCUAGGGAAAUCCUAUCUCUCAGGAGGUCAUCAUGACCUUUUGUCGUAUCCACACACCUCAAACCACAUGGUCAAGAUCUGUUGCCUUUGGAGCACACACACACCAAAUACUGCAUUUCCUAGAACCUGGCAUAGCCAGAUUUAGCAAGUUAAAACACGGGAUUCCCAGUUAAGUUUGAUUUUCAGAUAAACAAUGACUUUUUACUAUAAGUAUAUCUCAAAUAUUACAUGGGGUAUACUUACACUAAAAUAUUUUUGUUUAUCUGAAAUUCAGAAUUAACUAGGUGUCUUACACUUUCUCAAACUUACUAGAGAAUCAUUCAAUCAUUUUAAAGGUAAAUGGAAUAAAAUGUAGAAAUAGAGGUUGGAGACCUCAAUUUGAUUGGGUGUUAAUUACAUAUUUUAAUUACUGAGAAGAGUUAACUUUCAAAGAAGAAAGCAAUGUCUGCAUAACCUCUUUAUCUGUCAUGAUUAAUGCAGCCAAUGAAGACAACAGGACACCAAGCCUUGUACACAACAGACACUCCAUAUCAACUGUGGUGGUUUAUUUUCAUUAUUGCUGGGGGUGUGCUCAUCAAUCCAUUAUGCUAAAAUCAAAGGAACCUUAUUAUUUUCCAGGCACUGUAUGUACACGAUCUCUCUCAAUCCCUCCAGCACCCUUAUGAGAAAAAUACUAUCAUCCUGAGUUUACAGAUGAGGAAACUGAGGCUGAGUGGUGAGAGAAUCUGUGUUUUAACCUAAUUCACCCCUCAUUCCAAGUCCUGUGGCUUCUCCAUCAUAAUAAGUGCAAGCACAGGGUGUUUGGGUUUUAAUUUAAAACCUUACCAUAAAGGAAGGAGAAUGAAUUCAAGAGAGAUAAUUCUAAUUAAGCAGUGCUAAAUAUAUCUAGCAUAUUUUUGCAGUAAGGUUCUCUUUGCUGUAUGUGGUUACUUGUGACAGGUCACCCACCUAUCUUCUUUGCAGGCAUAAAUAACUCCAAGCAUUUGCAAGGAGGUGUGGAAAGCUGCAGAAAGAACAAAGGAACUUUGGUACAGAAAUGCCACAUUUGCUAGAAUAAACAGGAGCCAAAAACAGCAAUGGAUUGCGGGCCUUAGGCUCUGCCCUACUGACCCAAAACAAAGAGGGGAUGGGACGGAGGGAAUGAACCCAAUACCGCUGCCCUUAAGUGUAGUGAGUAGGUACCACUGCGAGGUGGAAAGGGACUCAAGUUGUCUGGGACACUCCUUAAGCUCCUUGCCCUCCAAUGUAAUGUUGCAUCAGCUAAACAUUAAGGGUGACAAAGCCUGUGAAUUCCUGGGUUGUCCAUCCAGUAACCGGAAGUCCCCAGACAGGGAGGAGGUGUUGCACAGAGUGACGGACAGAGUCGCAACAGCCUGCAAAGCUCUUCUUCUGGGUAAAUGUGAGUAAUAAAAAUAACAACAAAACUGACAUCCCCAGUGUAUAAUUUCCGGACCUCCCUGUAGUGUAAGUAUGAUAGUCAUAAUUAACGCUCAUUUUGCAGCUGAGGUCCCAGAAGACCUGAGAGGUUGGUUAAGCUAUUCUCCCAGUUUCAGAGCACACCGCCGGAGAGCUGGAAACAGAAGCUGGGUCCAGAGCACGCACCAGAGGUGCUGGAUCUCGUGCUAUUAAAGGUGUCUCAUCUAUCUGACUGUCCAUGUUUUCUACCUUCUCUUUCAUUGCUAGAGAUGAACCUAUCUGAGGCCAAUUUCCCCACUUGCACAAAAGCCCAUGCUCCUUUUCCCACCCAAAGACAUCAUUCCAAAUAUUAAGCCCUCCAGUCGUGCCUUUGCUCCUUGAUCAUCCUCAUCCAAAUGCUGCCUAUGUACAACCAUGCCUGCACAUACACACGUGGAUACGUACACGUAAACAGAGAGGUCUUCUCUCUCCCCAUCUCACCCCAGUGCUGCCCCAUUUCUCUACUCCUUUAACAUAAAAAAGGAUGGAUUGCUAAGUGGAUGUACAAUUGGACAAACAGCCAUGAGAAGGCAAAUCUAUUCAAAGGUUAAGUAUAGAGAGCAUAUGGGUAUUUACUGUACUCUUCUUUCAACCUUUCUGCAUAUUUGAAAAUUUUCAAAGUAAAAUAUGGGGGAGGGGGAAACUGUCUCCAUUUUCUUUCAACUCCUUUCCUCCUAUUAUCUUCUGAAACCACCCCAGUAAGACUUUCACCACCACUAUCCACCAGUUCCUAUCAGUCACCCAUGACCUUCACAUUGCUGAAUGCAGUGGUCACUCCCCAACCCUCUUACUUGACCUGCUGGCAGUGUUUGACUCUCUCCUUCUUCUACCACUUUCUCCCCACCCCCACUCAGUUUCCGGGAUGUCACUAUUUUCCUUAUAGGUCAUUGGCUUCUCCUUCUUAGCCUCUUUACCUGUUUUUUUUCCUCACCUUCCCAACAGCUCAACAGUAGUGAGCCUUAGGACUUAUUCCUUAGACUUCUCUUCAUACUCCUAUGCUGAGUUCGCCCAGUCUCAUGGCUCUAAGUGAUAUCUUUGUAGAUGACUUCCAAAUAUAUGUCUUUAACCCAGACCUUGCUCCUGAACUCUGGACUCCUAUGUCCAGCUGCCUAUUCUAUAUCGGCCUAUUCUAUAUCUGUAUCAUCCCAAUCUUAAAACGUCCAAAGUCAAACUCCUGGUUUUAUACCAGCACUCCCAGUCUCACCCAAAUCUGCUUAUCACCUUACGAACAAGCCCAGCUUAGCCACCUGGAGGACGAGAGGCCACGUAGAACCAAGGCAUUCUGUCAACUGCCAGACAUCUGAGUGAGGCCAUCCCAGAUCAGCAAGUCACCAGCCAAGAAACCAGCCACGGUAGAUGCAUGUGUGGUCUCAGGAGAGAUGAGCUGAGUCAACCAAGCCAACUCACAGGAUUAUGAGACCAAUAAAAGCCUGCUUUGUUAAGCCAUUAAGACUUGGGAUGGUUUGUUCUUGAUGAAAAGUUCCAGAAUACCUAAAUUAUUCUAGAAAGUACGUGUGAUUUUAAGCAGAAAGGGUCACUCUUGAAGAAAAUUACCUAAUUCUUUACAUGCAUGAAUUGGGAGCUGGUCUUGUCUUCUGCCCUUAUUUUCUUGAAUAGGGUCCCUUAAGCUGCCCCUGUUUUCUCACCUUGGAAAGUUUUCAUGCUAGGACAGCUUCUUUCAACUACCUUUGAGAGUCUUGGGUGGAGCCUUAUGCAUGCUUCCUCUAGGAUGUGAAGACACCUGAGUUGAUACACUACCUUCUCAGUGAACCUGCAGACAGGUCUAUACAAAAGUGUCCUCUUUUUUUUAGUUUAACGCCAUGUGACAGUCCCUGGAUUUUAAAGCUGAUUAGUAUGGUCUACAUGGCAAAUACUCCUCCAUUUUGUAUCGAUUAACUUUUGAGAUCGAAUCGAAACAUGCUGAAUUAUUAAAAAAUUAAUUUUUGACUCUG